GAUGAACGCUGGCUACAGGCUUAACACAUGCAAGUCGAGGGGAAACGACGGGGAAGCUUGCUUCCCCGGGCGUCGACCGGCGCACGGGUGAGUAACGCGUAUCCAACCUGCCUCUGACUGUGGGAUAACCCGUCGAAAGUCGGCCUAAUACCUCAUGGCAUCGUCUGCGGGCAUCCAACGACGAUUAAAGAUUUCAUCGGUCAGGGAUGGGGAUGCGUCUGAUUAGCUUGUUGGCGGGGUAACGGCCCACCAAGGCUACGAUCAGUAGGGGUUCUGAGAGGAAGGUCCCCCACAUUGGAACUGAGACACGGUCCAAACUCCUACGGGAGGCAGCAGUGAGGAAUAUUGGUCAAUGGGCGGGAGCCUGAACCAGCCAAGUAGCGUGCAGGAUGACGGCCCUAUGGGUUGUAAACUGCUUUUAUGCGGGGAUAAAGUGAGGGACGUGUCCUUCAUUGCAGGUACCGCAUGAAUAAGGACCGGCUAAUUCCGUG
rnacentral:rRNA from 1 species